rnacentral:rRNA from 1 species
UACGAAGGGGGGCUAGCGUUGCUCGGAAUCACUGGGCGUAAAGCGCACGUAGGCGGAUCGUUAAGUCGGAGGUGAAAUCCUGGAGCUCAACUCCAGAACUGCCUUCGAUACUGGCGAUCUUGGAGUCCGGGAGAGGUGAGUGGAACUCCGAGUGUAGAGGUGAAAUUCGUAGAUAUUCGGAAGAACACCAGUGGCGAAGGCGGCUCACUGGCCCGGUACUGACGCUGAGGUGCGAAAAGCGUGGGGGAGCA